UACGAAGGGGGCUAGCGUUGCUCGGAAUUACUGGGCGGAAAGGGCUCGAAGGCGGACAGUUUAGUCAGAGGUGAAAGCCCAGGGCUCAACCUUGGAAUUGCCUUUGAUACUGGCUGUCUUGAGUUCGGGAGAGGUGAGUGGAAUGCCGAGUGUAGAGGUGAAAUUCGUAGAUAUUCGGCGGAACACCAGUGGCGAAGGCGACUCACUGGCCCGAUACUGACGCUGAGGCGCGAAAGCGUGGGGAGCAAACAGG
rnacentral:rRNA from 1 species